GGCGGCAUGCCUUACACAUGCAAGUCGAACGCGAAAGGGGGCAACCCUGAGUAGAGUGGCGAACGGGUGAGUAAUGCAUCGGAACGUGUCCUGUAGCGGGGGACAACCCCGAGAAAUCGGGGCUAAUACCGCAUACGUCCUACGGGAGAAAGUGGGGACCGCAAGGCCUCACACUAUAGGGGCGGCCGAUGCCGGAUUAGCUAGUUGGUGAGGUAAAAGCUCACCAAGGCGACGAUCCGUAGCUGGUCUGAGAGGAUGAUCAGCCACACUGGGACUGAGACACGGCCCAGACUCCUACGGGAGGCAGCAGUGGGGAAUUUUGGACAAUGGGCGCAAGCCUGAUCCAGCCAUGCCGCGUGAGUGAAGAAGGCCUUCGGGUUGUAAAGCUCUUUCGGCCGGGACGAAAUCGCUUCCGCUAAUAUCGGGAGUGGAUGACGGUACCGGAAUAAGAAGCACCGGCUAACUACGUGCCAGCAGCCGCGGUAAUACGUANGGUGCGAGCGUUAAUCGGAAUUACUGGGCGUAAAGCGUGCGCAGGCGGUUUC
rnacentral:rRNA from 1 species